rnacentral:tRNA from 2 species
GCCCGGGUGACGUAAUUGGCAGACGUAGCAGACUCAAAAUCUGCCGUGGGUGACCACGUGUCGGUUCGAGUCCGACCCCGGGCACCA